rnacentral:rRNA from 1 species
GAGAACCCGGAGCGCCAGCUUCGGGGGAGGCGUCGGUGGGAUACUACCCUGGUUGUAUUGAACUUCUAACCCACAAGCCUUAGCGGCUUGGGAGACAGUGUCAGGCGGGCAGUUUGACUGGGGCGGUCGCCUCCUAAAGAGUAACGGAGGCGCUCAAAGGUUCCCUCAGAAUGGUUGGAAAUCAUUCGCAGAGUGUAAAGGCACAAGGGAGCUUGACUGCGAGACGGACAGGUCGAGCAGGGUCGAAAGACGGACUUAGUGAUCCGGUGGUUCCGCAUGGAAGGGCCAUCGCUCAACG